rnacentral:ncRNA from 1 species
UAACUAAAUAGUCAAGUUGUUUAUGCAAAAGCCUAUGGCAGGUGGGGACAUGAUUUUUGCCUAGUGCUCUAAAUGUCAAAGUGAAAGUAUUUACUGAAGCUUAGGUAAAUUGAUGGGUGUAACUAUGACUCUUUUAAGGUAGCCAAAUGUCUCACCAUCUAAUUAAGGAUGUGAAUGAAUGGAUGAUUGA